rnacentral:tRNA from 1 species
GGUCCCGUAGUAGCGGUUAACACGCCUGCCUGUCACGCAGGAGAUCGUGGGUUCGAAUCCCAUCGGGACCGCCA